rnacentral:rRNA from 1 species
CCUACGGGAGGCAGCAGUGGGGGAUAUUGCACAAUGGGGGGAACCCUGAUGCAGCGACGCCGCGUGGGUGAAGAAGCGCCUCGGCGCGUAAAGCCCUGUCAGCAGGGAAGAAAAUGACGGUACCUGAAGAAGAAGCCCCGGCGAACUCCGUGCCAGCAGCCGCGGUAAUCCGGCGGGUGCAAGCGUUAUCCGGAGUGACUGGGUGUAAAGGGGGCGCAGACGGCGGUGCAAGCCAGGGGUGAAAGCCCGGGGCCCAACCCCGGGACUGCUCUUGGGACUGCGUGGCUGGAGUGCAGGAGGGGCAGGCGGAAUUCCUGGUGUAGCGGUGAAAUGCGUAGAUAUCAGGAGGAACACCGAUGGCGAAGGCGGCCUGCUGGACUGCAACUGACGUUGAGGCCCGAAAGCGUGGGGAGCAAACAGGAUUAGAUACCCUUGUAGUC